rfam:Heligmosomoides polygyrus genome assembly, scaffold: HPBE_scaffold0005970
GCGCCGGUGGUGUAAGGCGAACAUCGCUGCCCGGAAUGCAGAAGAUGCGGGAUCGAGUCCCGCCUGGCGCA